CCUACGGGUGGCGGCAGUGAGGAAUAUUGGUCAAUGGACGAGAGUCUGAACCAGCCAAGUAGCGUGAAGGAUGACUGCCCUAUGGGUUGUAAACUUCUUUUAUAUGGGAAUAAAAUGUUCCACGUGUGGGAUUUUGUAUGUACCAUAUGAAUAAGGAUCGGCUAACUCCGUGCCAGCAGCCGCGGUAAUACGGAGGAUCCGAGCGUUAUCCGGAUUUAUUGGGUUUAAAGGGAGCGUAGGUGGAUUGUUAAGUCAGUUGUGAAAGUUUGCGGCUCAACCGUAAAAUUGCAGUUGAAACUGGCAGUCUUGAGUACAGGAGAGGUGGGCGGAAGUCGUGGUGUAGCGGUGAAAUGCUUAGAUAUCACGAAGAACUCCGAUUGCGAAGGCAGUUCACUGGACUGCAACUGACACUGAGGCUCGAAAGUGUGGGUAUCAAACAGGAUUAGAUACCCUAGUAGUC
rnacentral:rRNA from 1 species